rnacentral:rRNA from 1 species
UGCCAGCCGCCGCGGUAAUACAGAGGUGGCAAGCGUUGUUCGGAUUUAUUGGGCGUAAAGGGUUCGUAGGCGGUCCGGAAAGUUGGAUGUGAAAUCCCGCAGCUUAACUGCGGAACUGCAUUCAAAACUUCCAGACUCGAGUGUGAGAGGGGUAAAGGGAAUUCCUGGUGUAAGGGUGAAAUCUGCAGAUAUCAGGAAGAACACCGGUCGCGAAGGCGCUUUACUGGCUCACAACUGACGCUGAGGGACGAAAGCUAGGGUAUCAAACGGGAUUAGAUA